rnacentral:lncRNA from 1 species
AAGAAAAAUAUAGGCUCCUUUAACAAAACACGUUGCGGGGCUAGUAGGUGAUGCAUUAUUUUUUUCUUUCUUAUGAAAGUAAUCCAGUGCUACUU